rnacentral:tRNA from 1 species
ACCUGGUGGGCUUGAUGGUGGAACGUGGGACUCUUGGUCUCAGGGUUGUGAGUUCAAGCCUCACACUGGGUA